GCCGUCUCCCGGGCGGUCGCAAUGGGGCGCAAGCUCCUAUUGAGGAAAGUCCGGACACCGUAGGGCAACCCGCCUUGUGAAAGCAGGGAACGCAAACCGAGAGGGGAGCGGAUGGAAAGUGCAGCAGAAAAGACACCGCCGAUGGCCCGCAAGGGCACAGGUAAGGUUGAAAUGGUGGGGUAAGAGCCCACCGCGCCGAGGGCAACCGGAGCGGCAUUGGAAACCCCGGGUGGUGCAAGACAUAACAGGGAAAGGGCGGCCCGCCCGUCAACUCCCGGGUAUUAGUCGCACUCCGCGCAAGCGGGGCGCCCGGCGCAAGCCGGGUUGAGAGAAAUGACCGUCCAGCUCCGGGUAAAACCGGGGUGGACAGAAUCCGGCUUACAGGGAGGCGGCACCC
rnacentral:RNase_P_RNA from 1 species